UGAAAGCAAGACAAAGAUAUGGGACGAGUAGCAUUGGAGGGCAAGUCUGGUGCCAGCAGCCGCGGUAAUUCCAGCUCCAAGAGUGUAUAUUAAAGCUGUUGCGAUUAAAACGCUCGUAGUUUAUGUGAUGGUUUUGUUUGUAGUGUUGUGUGUAAGACCAUGUUUUUAGGCAUGGUUUGGCAGAAAGGAUGACAAGACAGGACAGGUGGUGCAGUUUGGAGAUUGUGCUUGGAUGGACGAUAAGGAAGAACUGGAUGGAAUACUUUGAACAAAAUAGGACGAUAGAGGUAGAUAGAAGAGUAUGAUGGAUAUAUUAGCAUAGGAUAAUAGAGGGGUUUGAUGGCGUGUCAAAUAGGAGCACAUGGCAAGGGACAAGAAAUCUGUGGUGGUUGUGUUUGUGGAAAUGGUUUUGAUGGUGUGUAAAAUGGUGGCAGAUGGAACACGUGUUCCAUCUGCCACGAUGGACACUGUAGGAAAGAGUGAGUGGUGACACACACGGACAGACAAAGACAGCGAGGACAGAGAAAUAGACCUGUUGGGUGACUGAUGGGUUGACCUUGGGAUGUGUGAGGAAGACGGAGAGACGUUGAGCCAUGGGACAGACAAAGAAUAGGAACAAAUGGGGUGGUGGAUAUUUUCCUGAGAGAGGUGAAAUUCAAUGACCAGGAAAAGAUGGACGAGAUCCAAGCAAUCUCCAAAGAUGUUUUCAUAGAUCAAGAACGAAAGUUGGGGGAUCGAAGACGAUCAGAUACCGUCGUAGUCUCAACCAUAAACGAUGCCGACUUGGGAUUGGAUGCAGAAUCCCAUUUUCUGUUUCUUUGCUUUUUUCGAAAGGCAAAGGACAUGGAAUGGAAAUCGAAAAGGAGCACAUGUGUGUUGUGGAAACGCAAUGGACGUGUGUGGACAGAAUAGACUCUUCCAGACUUACGAGAGAAAUCGAGAAGUUGAUGGGCUUCGGGGGGAGUAUGGUCGCAAGGCAGAAACUUAAAGGAAUUGACGGGAGGGCACACCAGGAGUGGAGCGUGCGGCUUAAUUUGACUCAACACGGGGAAACUUACCAGGGCCAGACAGCAUGGGGAUUGACAGAUUGAGAGCUCAUUCAUGAUAUGGUAGGUGGUGGUGCAUGGUCGUUCUUAGUUGGUGGUGUGAAUUGUCUGGUUAAUUCCGAUAACGAACGAGACCUUGGCUUGCUAUGUAGAUUUGUGUGAUGGCAGCUUUGUUUUUUCUUUUUCUGGUAUUUCUUUGUGGUUGUUUUCGGACAGACACAGAGGACAGAAAAGGGGGCGAGGCAGGAUGACAUGGGAUUUCGUAGAAGGACAUUUGAUAGGAAAGGAAUUGAAGGAAGGGAGAGGCAAUAACAGGUCUGUGAUGCCCUUGGAUGCUCUGGGCCGCACGCGCGCUACAAUGCUAUAUUCUGAGUGUGAGUGGUUUUGUUGUUUGUGACUGAUGUGUGUAAAAAGCGUGUUGGUUGUGGAUGACAAAGCAAGGAACCGACAUUGAGAAAUGGAGGGAAGCAAAGGAAAGGAUAGCAAGGUGGGGAUAGAUGAUUGGAAUUGUUUGUCUUGAACAAGGAAUUCCUAGUAAGCGCAAGUGAGUAGCUUGUGCUGAUUACGUCCCUGCCCUUUGUACACACCGCCCGUCGCUCCUACCGAUUGGGUAAUGCGGUGAAAAUACUGGAUGUUUUGUUGUCUCUUUUUUGAGGGGCAGGAGAAUAGAAAGUAAUUGAACCUUAAUAUCUA
rnacentral:rRNA from 1 species